rnacentral:lncRNA from 1 species
UAGCUUUGCUGUAGGAAACCUUAUAUGCGUGUAAACCCUUAUACGCGUCUUCUGCCUCUAUCCUCACCUGUUAGAGAACCAAAAAAAAACGCCGUCUCGUGACUCUCCCGUGACGCCUCCUGCAUUUUUCCGACGCCGGUGCUCCAUCCCGUCGCUUCUCGUCGACGCUGCUGCCGGAGCGCCAUCGCCAUCUCAUCUCCUCGGUGCUCCUUCCUUUCCCGUCGAUUUCUUCUUCGUUGCUCGACGUUCCUGCCUUCUCUCGACGUUCCUUCCUUCUCCGACGUCCGUUCCUUCUCCACAAGGCGAUUCCUCCGUCGGUCGAUUGUCUCCGGGAGCACACUUCCUCCGACAUUCUUCUCUUUGGUCGAUUUCUUCUCCAAAAAGGUGAAACCCUAGAUUUAUUUUGUUAUCUAUUUCAUGUAUUUUUUUUUUCUGAAAUGGUAAUUUUCAGGUUUGUAUACUGAAUUUCAUCUAUGACAACAAAAUUGAGGUGAAUAUUGCUCAACUAUCUCUAUUAUCAAAUUUUAAUGUAAUUGGAGCUUUAGAAUGUUAUGGGUUCCAGCAUGUUGUUUAGGUUCUUCAAGUCUUUAAACUUCAAGGCUUUUCGGGGACAAUCUGUCUGUAAGAAAAAAGCUUGAAGGGUUUGCCAAUGUAAGUUUAUUGCUCUCACAAAUUUUCUUAUUUUCAGAAUAAUGCAGUGCACACCAUGUGUUUGAUAAAAAUUCCCCUAUGUAAACUAUCUGUUUGGAAAGAGAGAUUCUACUCUAAACUCUAGUUAUUAUGUCAAAUGUUGUAAAAACAAGUCAUUUUGGCCGUGUCAUGGAUUUGAACCUUUUUUCUUAUUAAUGAUGGAAAUUAGAGCAUUCACUAUUCAUAUCAUGGAUUUUACAGGUUUUUUUGGAUAUUAGCAAACGAAAUAUGUGUGAGGAUAGCAAAGUUAAAACCAAGAUUCUGUUUUUUGGGCUUCUCUUUGCUGCUUCAAAUAACUACACCAAAGAAUACUUGUAGAACUAUCCAUCUAUCCAGGUAUUCUAAUUGAUGACUAAUGUAAAUGGUAAACAAGACUUCAAAAUUGAUUAGUUUAAUGAACCUUUGUAUCUUUCAUCUGAUAGGUUAAUGAUCGUCUAUUUAAUAGUGUACCUAACCUUAUUGGCAAUUUGUAUUUACA